CCCUAGUGUGUUCUGUUUGCUCCUGCCUACUUGCCAUUGCCUUCCUCGUCACUCUGCCUCCAGUCAGCUGGCUCCUCCAUCCAGUUCCCCCUCACGGUUUCCUGCACCAGCCUGCCUCAGCCCUCGCCUCUCCGCGCUCCAGUACUUCCCUGUCGAGUUCUCAGACCCGGUCUCCCCGUGCCUCUGUUCCCGGUUCCAGCCCCCGUGCCUGUGCUCCCCUCUCUGGCAUCCACCUCCCCACUUCCCCAUUCACUUUCCCACUUUUCCUAAUAAAGUGAUUUGUGCUGA